AGUGAACGCUGGCGGUAGGCCUAACACAUGCAAGUCGAACGGCAGCACAGUAAGAGCUUGCUCUUACGGGUGGCGAGUGGCGGACGGGUGAGGAAUACAUCGGAAUCUACUUUUUCGUGGGGGAUAACGUAGGGAAACUUACGCUAAUACCGCAUACGACCUACGGGUGAAAGCAGGGGAUCUUCGGACCUUGCGCGAUUGAAUGAGCCGAUGUCGGAUUAGCUAGUUGGCGGGGUAAAGGCCCAACAAGGCGACGAUCCGUAGCUGGUCUGAGAGGAUGAUCAGCCACACUGGAACUGAGACACGGUCCAGACUCCUACGGGAGGCCGCAGUGGGGAAUAUUGGACAAUGGGCGCAAGCCUGAUCCAGCCAUACCGCGUGGGUGAAGAAGGCCUUCGGGUUGUAAAGCCCUUUUGUUGGGAAAGAAAAGCAGCAGGUUAAUACCCCGCUGUUCUGACGGUACCCAAAGAAUAAGCACCGGCUAACUUCGUG
rnacentral:rRNA from 1 species